UCAAAGAAACUAAAAGUGAGUGGCUUUCUUUUUAAAGAUAACGAACUUGCUAGAAUAUCUCAGAACGAAGGUGAGAUAUUACCUACACUUAAGUGAGUUAUGAUCAUCUCUCAUCCCAUUUGAAGCAUUGUUUUGCUUAUUGUCGACUAUAUCCAAAAGAUCAUGAAAUUGAUGUACAAGAACUUGUUCAAUUUUGGAUUGCACAAGGUUUUGUAAAGCAAUUGAAUCCAAGUCAAUCUCUUGUGGAGAUCGGAUUUGGAUAUUUUAAAGAUUUAGUUGAAAGAAGUUUCUUUCAAGAGGUAGAAGAAUAUGGAUUUGAGGAUAUGACAUGUAAAAUGCAUGAUUUAAUGCAUGAUCUAGCUGAAUCAGUAGCAGGGAUGGAGAGUAGUAUUGUAGAUUCAAAUAAAAUUGCAAGUGAUGUUGGUGAAAAAUGUCGCCACAUAUCAAUUAAACCUUCAUUAAUUCCUUUGUUUAAGGGAAAGAAGUUGCGAACCUUGUUACAUUUUCAAUACGAAUUAAGUCAAGAUUUCAGCUAUGAAACUUGGGAUUUGAUAAUUGCAAAUUGCAGAUGCUUGCGUGUAUUGAAAUUGAAUUCUAUAGGUAUUCAUAAGAUUUCACCCUCCAUUUGUAAGUUGAAACAUUUGAGGUACCUUGAUCUUACUUAUAAUCCCGGACUUAAGAUUCUCCAGAGAGUAUUUGCAAGAUUCAGAAUUUGCUAGCGCUGGAACUUGACAGCUGUCAUAUUCUUAAAGAAUUGCCAAAGAAGAUUGAAAAAUUGGUGAAUCUUACCCAUCUUUCUUGUUCUUUUUGUUGGGAAUUAACUCAUAUGCCACGUGGAAUAGGGAAGCUGACUUCACUUGAGACGUUAAGCACGUUUGUAGUGGAUAAAGAUGGGUCCCAUGGCGGUGCAGAUCUAAGUGAAUUGAGACUGCUUAACAACUUAAGGGGAGAGUUAAGAAUAGCAAAUUUGGGAUUCGUAAAAAAUGCAAAAGAGAAGUUUAAGGCUGCUAAUUUGAAAGAGAAGCAACAUUUGAGAUCGUUACAUUUACAAUGGAAUGCUGAUGAAGAUGAUGAUGAGAAGUCACUUGAAGACCUCCAGCCCCAUCCUAAUCUCAAGGAGUUCUAUAUUGCAGAAUGGAGGGGUGAUGCCAAGUCUCCAAGUUGGCUUUCUUUUCUAACAAAUCUCGUUUAUAUGACAAUAAUUCAGGGUAAUUUCAAACAAAUCCCGUCCUUUGUGCAAUUUCCUUGUCUUAAAGGGCUGACCAUAGGUGAUUGUACUAAGCUGGAGUACAUGGAUGAUAAUAGCCCAAAAGGAAGUCAAGGAGAACCACAAUCAUUCUUCCCAUCACUGAAGCAUCUUUCGCUCUUUAACUGUCCGAAUAUGAAGAGUUGGUGGAGGACGACAAAACCAAUCGAUGAUGAUUCCAACGAGGACGACACAACAGUUAUGGGAACAUCAACCAUGGGAUUUCCUUGUCUUUCCUCUUUAUUAAUUAAAAAUUGCCCUUUGACAUCAAUGCCGCUGUAUCCAUCACUCGAUGAAGAUCUAAUGUUGUCGAAUACCAGUUCAAGGCCGUUAAAGCAGACUAUCAAGAUGAACAUCAAUGCUAAGGCCCCAUUAACUUCAACCUCUUCUCUUCCACUCUCCAAAUUGAAAUCUUUCGAUGUACGCAAGAUUGAGGGGUUGGACACUCACACACUAGAUGAGUGCCUGCAACAUCUCACCAGCCUCAAAAGAUUAACAAUAAGAGAUUGCAAGGAGGCUGAUUUAGAGGGCAUGCAAUGGGAACCCCUUAAGAAUCUCUCUCAUUUGGAGAUUGAUAAUAUUCCAAUGCUGGUGUCUCUCCCCAUUGGGCUUCAACAUCUUGUUCAAUUGAAAAGAUUAAAAAUUCAUAACUGCAAUGGAUUGAGGUCACUGUUUCCUGUGUUCCAACAUCUCACUUUCCUUGAAGAGUUUGAAGUAGAGGACUGCAAGGAGCUGGAGUUAUCUGGAGCUGGCAUCCAAAUAUUCCAAGAUCAUACAAGCUUACACUCUCUACGGCUGCAAAAUAUUCCAAAGUGUCGGCAUCUUCCGGAUUGGCUUCAACACCUAACAAAUCUGCAACGGCUUUAUCUCGUAAAUUUGCCCAAUUUAACAUCUCUUCUGGACGAGAUGCGUUGCCUAACCAGUUUGGAGUAUUUACACAUACGAGAAAUUCCUCAGUUGGAGGAAAGAUGUCGGAAGGACAUUGGCGCUGAUUGGCAAAAGAUUGCUCACAUCCCCAACAUUGUGUUGUAUCAGGUUGGUCCGUCUUUGUUAUUUAUUUAUUUUGAUGACCUUAUCUGUUUUUGAAGAAAAAUAAGUGGUAUAUUGAAUCUCCAAGUCAGGGGUCUGAUGCCAUUUUUCAUUGAAGUUGGAUACUGUUAAUUUCCUUGUUAAAAUCCCUUGUUUUAAUCCUACUUUUUACUUAUCAUCUUUCAUAAUAUUUUUUGCUGAUUUGUGCAGUAAGGCAUUGGAGAAAGGCAUUACUGAACUUCAAUCAUUUUAUAUACAUAAAAAGAGGUGCUAAUUUAUCUAUUUGCUUCUAAUAAUUUAAUUCUAAAAAAUCAUUGAUGUGGAGAGAGUGGCCUAUGAAGCCUUCAAAAUGGUUGUACUAUAUGCUCUGCUUUCUUCAUUUAAGCACUUACCUAUCAUAUCUUUAUAUAUCUUUAUGUUUUCUCUUCAUGUAUGCCAACUGAUUGCUAUCUUAGAUGGCACCUAUGCUAUUGACAGGCUUUUGGAGGUACUCAAAUUCAUAAUAUUCAUUGACGCAGGGCACUCUUUUAACUGUUUGGAAUUCCAGCCAAAUUUGUUAUUGAAGGUCCAAACAGGAAAAAAAGGAGGAUGCUUCAGAAUAUUUGGUGGUGAGGUUGAAGUUGAUAAAAUGUUUCAUUAUUUAUAUAUCAACAGCAUUAUACUAAACACACAUAAGUGCAAAUAUAAGGCUGAUAAUAAUGGGAUUUGUAACGUAUUCUAUGUUGGCAUUUAUAAUUUUCAGGUUCAUUGAUGCUUUUGGAAGAGUCAUUGUUCAAGCAUGACAAUUGCCAGACAUAUUGCAUUUCAAAAUUUAUGAUUCCACUUUACAUGGAGCUUAUUAAGAGCUUGAUUCAUAGUAGAAAAACCAUUUGAGUGUUGAAUGUGAAUUUCACUUGCAUAGCUAAAAUGAGUAGGGAGAGAAUUUGCAUCAAGUGUUUGAGGGGUUAAGCUUAAAUCAUUUCUUUAUUGAAGUUCAUAGUGGAUUCAUCUUUGGGCAAAGCCCCGCAGACGUAGGAUGAGUUCCGAACUGCGUAAACAUAUUAAUUGUGUUUUUUAUUUUCCUUGUUGCAUAAUAUGUACCAACUCAGGAAAAAACACAUUUUUAAUGUUCCAAACAGUAUUCAAAUGCAAGGAUGCACAAUUGAUUAUGAGACAAAUUCCUCCGUUGGAAGGACAUUGGCGCUGGUUGGCAUAAAAUUGCUCACAUCCCACGCAUUUCACUGCAUCCCUAAGAAACAAAUGGAAAUACCUCACACAUUAAAAUACAGACAUCACAAUUUCACUGCAGAAACAAAUAAUGCUACUCAUAAUUUAUCCCCUAAGAAACUUAGCCACCAUGAAAAGCUCUAUUUGUGAACAGAUCAAAAGAUCACACACACAAAAAAAAGAAAAGCAAAUGACAUGAAGUGUUAAGUGAGUACAAUUCUCAUCAAAAUUGAAAUAAUAUACUACUAAUUACAUGAUAGCCACCGUUUUCAAAAGAGAAUUUUUGAACUCACUGGAGAUCUCACAACAAUUGCUUCAACUUCUUGAUCGGCGGCGAUUCCACGACUAUUACUAGAUGAAAAUCUGUUGUAAUCAUUGGGAUGAACAAAUGGCGGCUUCGUCGAAUCGAAGGCCAGGUGACGACUUAUCGGCAAAACAACCGGAGGAACCGUCGAAUCUGGUACUGCUGAAGCCGUAGGAGGAGGUUGAUACGGCAGCGUGAGACCAUGCCGGACAUGAAGGUUUAUGAUAUCGUGGGGAGACAAGGAGGGUAUAAUAGCAAUAGGGAAAUAGGAAGAGAGAGAAAGUGAGGGUUUUAGUUCAGACAUUAGAGAGAGAGUAGAAAAGGAGGGAAAAGAGAGUGAAUCUUUUUGUAUAUAAUUAUAAGUUAAUGUGCUAAUUUCAUUUGUUUUUACCUUUUUGAACUCUUACUUUUUUUCAAUUUUUCAAUUUCAUCCUAAAAUAAACUUCAAAUAUGUAUAUAAGGGUUAAAGUACUGGUACUAUAGGGACUGCAUACAACUUAGCCCCUCACCAUUAAAUGGUUAAUUUAUUACCUGUACUAUUAAAAUUGAUCAAAUAAAGUUAAAUUAUAACAAAGUCAACAUUUGUUUUAUUCAUUAUUUUGAAACUUUUAUAGGUAAAAAAAAAUUACUAAUAAUUUGGUGAUCAUUUUGUAAUUUUUUACAUAGUUGAAUGAUUUUAAUACGGUUUACCCAAAACAGAAUAUUAACGACGUCAAAUAGAAAACGAGAAAACAAAUUUAAAACAAAGAUAAACAAAACGAUGUACUUAACGACGUUACUUCCUUCUUCUCCAACCAAAACGCCGUCGCUUUGUUCCCCAAACGUAAAACAUGGUGGGACCAUUUCCAACCAUAUUCUCAAUUUAUUAAUUAUUUUUUAAAAUUAAUUUAUAAAUUCUAAAAUAUUUUAAUUAAGUUUUGAAAGUAUUAGUAUUAUAUCAAUAAAAUCAUUUCAUUUUUGUAGCUGUCAAUUUAGGUUUUAAAUUUCUGUUCUCAUUUGACAUGGAUUAAAUUGUAAAUACUUGUGUACUCAUCAUAUUGGUAACUUGAUUCUAACAUAUUAAAAACACGACGAGAGUAUAAAAUUUAAGAGGAUUAUUUCUUCUUCUUUUUUUAACACAUUAGAUUAAACAAAAUGCACACUUUUAAGAUAUUAAAUUAAUGGAUUUUUAUAUUUGAUGUAUCAUAUAAUUAUAUUAUACACACAAUAAUAUCACUUUAUUAAAACAAUAAAAUUAUUUAUUCAUUAAAAAUAUAAUAAUAUGAUAUCGUUUGAUUCAUUAAUUGUUAAAUAAAAUUCUUAAAUUAUUUAGCUUUAUCCCCUGACAUAUAUUUUAGUUGUAUCUCGCCCCUCCAUCAAGCCAUUUUGUGUACAUUAUGUGGACUAUGAUUUAAUGAAAGGGCUUCACGCAACACCCAUUGAGCAAUUCCAAGAGUAAUGAAUGCUUAGCUUAGCUCCAUUCAAUUACCAAGUGUUGAGGAUAUGACAAUAUGGAUGCCCUGCAACAAUUACAACCCUUUUUAACAUCUAUUCCAAAGCUGGUGUCUCCCCCCCUUGGGCUUCAACAUCUUUUUCGAUUGAAAACAUUGGGAAUUCAUGAAUGCCAUGGAUUGAGGUCACUCUUUCCUGUGUUCCAACAUCUCACUUUCCUUGAAGAGUUUUCAAUAAGUAACUGCAAGGAGCUGGAGUUAUCUGCACCUAACUUCCAAAUAUUCCAAGAUCAUACAAGCCUGCGCUCUCUAGCGCUGGCAAAGAUUCCAAAGUGUCGCCAUCUUCCGGAGUGGCUUCAACAUCAAACAAAUCUGCCAAGGCUUAUUCUCUGUGAUUUGCCUAAUUUAACAUCGCUUCCGGACGAGAACCAGUUUGGAAGAGUUCUUUAUGAAACGAAUUCCUCAGUUGGAGGAAAGAUGUCGGAAGGGGAUUGGUGCCGAUUGGCAUAAGAUUGCUCGUAUCGCUACGGGUUGGUAUAUUGACUCUCCAAGUACCGCCUCUACAUGCUUAUGCUCCCAUUACUACCAUCCAUAUAUUCGCUACACAUUUUCUUUUUCAACUUUAAUUUUAAUUCCUUUGUUUAAGGGUUGGGUUUAGACUUCAACAUUCAAGGACUAUAUUUUAUAUAAAUGAAAAUAAUAAAAUAUAAUAAAAUUAUUUAUAUCAAAUAAUAAUUAAAAAUAUAUUUAUGAUAAUAAAUUUACAUGUAUUUAAUAUAUCAUUAUAUAAAUAUUAAUUUGUAAUAUAUUUAAUUUUUAUAACAAUUAAAUAAUUAAAUUUAUAAUUAUCAUAUGAUAUGUACUUAUAUAACACCUCUAGUAGGUUAUAGUGAGGAAAACAAUCUCAUUGCAGGUUAAAUUUUUAAGAAAAUCUUUUAUGUUCAGUUUGGUGCAAUAAAAUCAAGUGAUAUUAGUUUAAUUCGAUUAUAUUUUUUUAUCCGUCCAUUAUAAUUUAGUUUAGUUCAAUUUUUUAUUAUAAAUUUUUAUAAUUAUUUUAAUAAAAUAAACUUUAUUUUACGGCUUUUAAAUAUCAUUUGACAAAUUUUCAAAGUUUUUUUCAUAGAUAUUUUUUAAAAUUUUUUAAGUAGAUAAAAAUAAUUAAAUACUUUUAUAUAAUAUUUUUAAAAUUUAUUUAUUUAUUUUCACUAUUUUUAAAUAUAAAAUAUUUAUUUUUAUAUUAUAAAAAAUAAAUUUAUUUAUAAAUUAAAAUAAAGAAUAGAAUUUGGUUCGGUUUCAAAUAAUUGUGAUUUUUUAAUUUGUAUUCCAUAAACCGUCUAAACACCUUGAUUUAGAUCAAUUUUUAAUUAUUUUUAUUUUAUUUACUCAACCCUACUCACGAGAGGUAAAUAAUCAUAUAAAGGAGAACUAACAUGUUUAAAAGAAUCUGAACAAAUUAUAUUUAGGCUCUCUUUAUAUAGACUGUGAGAUUAGCUCUAAUGAGGUUGAAAACAUAUAUAACAAUAAUAAGAUUAGAAACUAUUCCGCACCAUCUUGAAUUUUAGCACUAAAAAAUACAAAAAAAAAAAAGGAGAAGAAAAACAACCAUUUUUUUUGCCAUAAUGAUUCUUUUGGUCUCCAACUUUAUAUAAAAAGUUAUUUCAACUCUCCAUUUAAUUUUUCGUUUCUUUUAGUUCUUAAACUUGUAAUUUUUGUCAAAUCACCCCAAAAUGAGUGAAAAAUUAACAUAUAUUGAUUUUGCUAAUGUAGCAUACACGCGGAUUGCCAUGUAUAUGCCACAUAAGCAAUUAAUUAUUUUUUUAAAAAAUUCAAAAAAAUAUAUUAAAAAUUAAAAAAAUUAUAAGAAAAUAUUUUUUAGUAUUUUUUAAAAAUAAUUAAAUGCUAACGUGACAUACACGUGGUAAUCCACCUAUAUGUCAUGUCAACAAAGUUAACAAACGUUAACUUUUUCAUCCAUUUUGAAUGGUUUGACAAAAAAAUGUAAGUUCAAAGACUAAAAGAGAAGGAAAUUAAAUAGAGAGCUAAAAUAAUUCAUUUAUAAAAUUGGAAUGCCAAAAAGUUAUUAUACUUUUAUUUUUCAAAAUAAUAAAAUUUCUAUUAAUAACACUUUAAACAUAAGUGCAUCUGCAUUUGCUUCAUGAUUGUUCUUUCUAUAAAUUCACCAUAAUCAUGUUAAACAAGUAAUUUAAUUAGUGAGGUUAAGUAUUGUAACAGUGAGAUUAAAGUUAAUUGUAGAAUAUGUAUAUAAAUUCAAAUGUAAAUAUACCGAUAAAAUGAGAAUAAAAAAUCACUAUUAAAGCGGAAUUAGAUGCCCUCAUCGAUGGUUUUCGGUGGCUUGCUCAAUUUAUUAAAGCCAAUAAUGUCAUUUUUGAAAUAGAUUGUGCUAGCAUUAUCAACCGCUUUAGUUUUCACAAGGAGGACAUAACGAUCCUUGAUCACUGCAUCAAGGAGCUCACAAGAUGCUUGAUUCUUUGGUUUCUUUCGAGGUCAAAUGGGUGAAACAUGGUUAUAACAAAUUAGCCAAUUCUCUUUGUAAUUAGGCUCUUUCUAAGUGUAGUAAUUUAUCUUUUGAGAUGAAUUAUCCUAGCGAUCGAUAUUCAUAACAUUGUAAUUUAUGAUGCAACUUAAAAUGAGGUAGUGACCUUUGGGUUUUUUUAUUAUUAUAAAAAAACACUAUUAAAUAUAUUAAGUUAAAAUACAUGUAUAUGUAAAAUAAAUAAUUAAAAAUAUAUUUAAAAAUAAAAUAUCUUAAAUAAACAAACCAAAAUCAUCCAAUUCACAAUAAAACAAUUAUAUGUGUAUUAAAAUAAUAAAAUAGAUAUGAGCAGUGGAAGCAAUCUUCAUGAUGGUAUAAGUAAUGAUUUUUCCUUCAAUACCAAUUAAAUACAUUCCCAUGGAGCUGACAUAAGCCCAAUAUCUUUCCACAUGUGGUGUUAAAAAAUGAAAUUAAUUUUUCUUUUGUUGGCAAUAGUAGCCGAGCUAAAAAAAAUUUUAGUGGGAAUUAAAUUAUAUAUUUUUAUAGUAAUAUAUAUUUAUAAUUUUUAAAUAGUUAAAUUAAAUUUUUAUAAUUUUUUUAGAUGAUCAAAUUAUAAUUUUAUCAUUAUUAAUUUAAAAUUUUAUAAAUUAUAAAAUGUCUAAAUUAAAAAUUUACCAUUUUAGGAGUCUCUACUAGGUUUCGCCGGUGAUAGGCAACUUGUCAAGAAUGACCAUCCAAGCUAUAACAAAAUGUUUUGGGAUAUGCUAAAUCAACCUCUUACAUUUUACUUUGAUAUAUUGCAUAGACAAACAAUUAUAUUAAUCCAAUGUAAAAAUAUAUAUAUGUAUGCAUUUUUUUACAUAUGUAAAGUUGAAUCAGAAUUAAAAUUUCAUGUGAAAAUUAUACCACAUCAAAAUUCAUGUAUCAAAUUACUCAUUGAACAAAAAUUCAUGUAUAAAUUCAAAUUUUUUCCCCUAAUAAUAAACAAAUCAAAAGCUUCGAUCCUUUCUUAAUAAAUAUAUGUAUAUUUAAAAGAAAAAUAAAAUGCUACUACUAUUAAUAACAAAUAUGUCUUGACUUGCAAGGAAUGGUAGUUAGAACUCUUAUCAAUACCUGUUUGACACAGAUUCAAACAAUAUUACCUCCAUCCCCACUCUUAAUAUUAUAUAAAAAAAUUAAUAGCAAAUAUAAUUAACAUACCCAUUAAUAUAAAAAAAUUUGAUAAUAAGGGUAUACUAAAAUAGUAAUGAACAGUAACUAUUGUCGUAAUAUAUAAUUAUAGACACCAAGUUACUUUAAAAGACAAAAUCAAAGCUAAGUAGGUAGGUGAGAAAUGUGAACAUGAUAAUCACUUGUAAGUUAAUUGAAUUCGAUUCAAAAAAGAUUUAAAUUUGAUUUAGUAGUCAUUAAGUUAUGUUUAAAUUAUUGAUUUAAUCGGAUUGGGAUUUAAUAAAAUUUGAUUCUAAUGGUGAAUGAGUUUUAUUGAAUUUUUUAUUUUAUAUAUUCAACCAAAGUUAAACUCAAAAAUAAAAUAUUGAAUUUAAGUUAAACUCGCGCAAUUACACAAAGUAAGUGGGAAGAAGGUUUAGAAAGACUUCAAUCAAAACACCUUGGAUUCCAUGGGAUUUGUCUCCUUUUUCUCUUUUCUUUCGUAGCCUUUUCAUUAAUUUCAAUUAUUUCUACGGCUCCACAUUGUGCAGAGCACCCCAAGUGUCAUCAUCCCAACUUUGCCUCCAUUCAGAAAUUUGUGUCACAUGGAGGGACCAUUUCCCACCAAUCAACAGUACUUUAACAUGGAGGGACCAUUUCCCACCAAUCAACAGUACUUUUUAUUUAAUUAUACUACUUACACAAAGUGGGAAGAAGGUUUAGAAAGAAUUGAAUGCAUGGGCCUCAAUCAAAACACCUUGGAUUCCAUGGGAUUUGUCUCCUUUUUCUCUUUUCUUUCAUACCUUUUUCAUUAAUUUCAAUUAUUUGUACGUUGUGCAGAGCACCCCAAGUGUCAUCAUCCCAACUUUGUCUCCAUUCAGAAAUUUGUGUCACACAGUAAACAUGGAGGGACCACUUCCCACCAAUCAACAUUACUUUUUAUUUAAUUAUACUACUUGCUGGGUGGAUGGAUUCACAUCUGUGUUUCAUCUUGUUGGAAUCAUUCUCAUUUUAGUCCUCCUCUUUCACUAAUCAAACACUUUUUGCCUCGAUUUCAGUUUGAACCAACAAUGGCCGAAGCAAUUGCUUUCGACAUUGCCGCAGAGCUCAUUCUUAAGUUGAGCUCUCGUGCUCUCUCUCAAGUUGGGCUGUGGUGGAAUCUAAAACAUGACAUCCUCGACCUCAAACGCACUGUCUGCCAAAUCAAAGCUGUGCUUCUUGACGCAGAAGAGAAAUCGGUGACCGACAAUCUCGUCAAAGGUUGGCUUGAAGAGCUGAAAGAUGUACUUUAUGAUGCCGACGACUUGCUCGAUGAUUUCUCUACUGAAGCUUUGCGGAAAGAUCUAUCGGGUGGGAACAAGCUGACGAAAGAGGUACGCCUUUUCUUCUCAACCUCAAACCAAUUUGCUUAUGGUCUCAAAAUGGGUCGGAAAAUGAAGGCCAUUAAGGCGAGAUUAGCUUCAAUUGAAAGGGAGGCCAACACUUUUGGCUUCAUUCCGCGUGAUCGCCCCGCGGAAACCUCUUUCAUGACUAAAAGGAGGCAGCAAACGCACUCUUUUGAGCGUGACGAUGACAUAAUAGGGAGGGAUGAUGAUAAAGCAGCUCUUCUAAAACUCGUGUUGGAGUUUCAAAGUGAAGAGAAUGUUUAUAUCAUUCCAAUUGUGGGGUUUGGAGGGUUAGGGAAGACUGCUUUGGCCCAACUUGUCUAUAACCAUGAAAUGGUCAAAAAUCAUUUUGACUUGACGAUGUUUGCGUGUGUUCCAGAUGAUUUUGAUGUGAAAGUUAUUGUAGCAAACAUUAUCAAAUCUGUGACUAAUCAAGCACCUGAUCAAAAUCUUGAAAUGGAUCAAUUGCAAACACAACUUCGAGAUAAAAUUGAUGGAAAAAAAUAUUUGCUUGUUUUGGAUGACAUUUGGAAUGAGGACCCAGAAAGGUGGUCUAGGCUAAAGAAGUUAUUGAUGGGUGGGGCUAAAGGGAGUAGGAUAAUAGUAACUACUCGAUCUCUAAGGGUAGCGGAGAUAACUAAUAAAUGUCAAUCCCAUGUUUUGAAAUUGAAAGGCCUGUCUGAUGAUGAUGCUUGGUCUUUGUUCAAAAAGAUAGCAUUUGAGCAAGGAUAUGCAGACUCAACAAAUUCAGCCUUUGUGGAAGUAGGGAGACAGAUUUCGGAAAGGUGUGGUGGGGUUCCCUUAGCCAUAAGGACGAUAGCUGGUACAUUAUCUUUGAAGAAAACUGCAAAUGAGUGGCAUUCUUUCAAAGAAAAUGAACUUGCUAAAAUAUCACAAAUUGAAGAACUUCUACCUAUCCUGAAAUUGAGUUAUGAUCAUCUCCCGUCUCAUUUGAAGCAUUGCUUUGCUUAUUGCCGAUUGUAUCCAAAAGAUUACAGAAUUGAAGUACAAGAGCUUGUUCAAUUUUGGAUUGCACAGG
rnacentral:lncRNA from 1 species